GUACUUGCUCUGGCAGUACAUCAACUAAAAUUGGAGCGAUACAGAGAAGAUUAGCAUGGCCCCUGCGCAAGGAUGACACGCAAAAUCGUGAAGCGCUCCUCUUUUCU
ensembl:snRNA U6 U6 spliceosomal RNA